rnacentral:rRNA from 1 species
AGUACACGUUGGAACCUGCCCCAAAGUAAGGGAUAAGCCACCGAAAGGUGGUCUAAUACCCUUAUAGUAUCCAUCUCGUAUGGAUUAAAGCUUUAUGCGCUUUGGGAGGGGCCUGCGUUUGAUUAGCUAGUUGGUGAGGUAAAAGCUCACCAAGGCGACGAUCAAUAGCUGGUUUGAGAGGAUGACCAGCCACACUGGGACUGAGAUACGGCCCAGACUCCUACGGGAGGCAGCAGUAAGGAAUCUUCCACAAUGGGGCAACCCUGAUGGAGCAAUACCGCGUGCAGGAUGAAGCGUUUCGGCGUGUAAACUGCUUUUAUCACCGAAGAUUAUGACUGUAGGUGAAGAAUAAGGACCGGCUAACUACGUG